rnacentral:rRNA from 1 species
GAUGAACGCUGGCGGCGUGCCUAAUACAUGCAAGUCGAACGAAUCUUCUUCGGAAGAUGAGUGGCGAACGGGUGAGUAAUACAUAGGUAACCUGCCCCUGUGCGGGGGAUAACAGGAGGAAACUCCUGCUAAUACCGCAUAGCCAUGAGCACCGCAUGGAGCUCAUGCCAAAUAUCCUUUCGGGGAUAGCGCAGGGAUGGACCUAUGGCGCAUUAGCUGGUUGGCGGGGCAACGGCCCACCAAGGCAACGAUGCGUAGCCGGCCUGAGAGGGCGGAAGGCCACAUUGGGACUGAGGAACGGCCCAGACUCCUACGGGAGGCAGCAGUAGGGAAUUUUCGGCAAUGGGGGAAACCCUGACCGAGCAACGCCGCGUGAGCGAAGAAGGCCUUCGGGUCGUAAAGCUCUGUUGUAAAGGAAGAACGGCGCAUACAGGAAAUGGUAUGCGAGUGACGGUACUUUACCAGAAAGCCACGGCUAACUACGUGCCAGCCGCCGCAGUAACAC